GACAGAGGAUGCAAGCGUUAUCCGGAAUGAUUGGGCGUAAAGCGUCUGUAGGUGGCUUUUUAAGUCCGCCGUCAAAUCCCAGGGCUCAACCCUGGACAGGCGGUGGAAACUACCAAGCUGGAGUACGGUAGGGGCAGAGGGAAUUUCCGGUGGAGCGGUGAAAUGCGUAGAGAUCGGAAAGAACACCAACGGCGAAAGCACUUUACUGGGCUAUUACUGACACUGAGAGACGAAAGCUAGGGUAGCAAAUGGG
rnacentral:rRNA from 1 species